rnacentral:rRNA from 1 species
GACAGAGGGUGCAAACGUUGUUCGGAAUUACUGGGCGUAAAGCGCGUGUAGGCUGCUUCGCAAGUCGGAUGUGAAAGCCCUGGGCUCAACCCAGGAAGUGCAUUCGAAACUGCAGAGCUGGAGUCCUGGAGAGGAAGGCGGAAUUCUCGGUGUAGAGGUGAAAUUCGUAGAUAUCGAGAGGAACACCGGUGGCGAAGGCGGCCUUCUGGACAGUGGACUGACGCUGAGACGCGAAAGCGUGGGGAGCAAACAGG